rnacentral:misc_RNA from 1 species
GAUGAAGAACGUAGCGAAAUGCGAUAAGUAGUAUGAAUUGCAGAAUUCAGUGAAUCAUCGAAUCUUUGAACGCACAUUGCGCCCCCUGGUAUUCCGGGGGGCAUGCCUGUUCGAGCGUCAUUUCACCACUCAAGCCUCGCUUGGUAUUGGGCAACGCGGUCCGCCGCGUGCCUCAAAUCGACCGGCUGGGUCUUCUGUCCCCUAAGCGUUGUGGAAACUAUUCGCUAAAGGGUGUUCGGGAGGCUACGCCGUAAAACAACCCCAUUUCUAAGGUUGACCUCGGAUCAGGUAGGGAUACCCGCUGAACUUAAGCAUAUCAAUAAGCGGAGGA